AAAAAACUGAAAUGGAACAUAAAUACCAAUGAACAUAUCAGUUGUCAAAAAAAUGCCAAGUGAAUAACAACCACUCUAGACAAAAAUUAGAAGAAUUAAUGCACAUUUCGAAAAAAGAGAAUGGGCUCUGGAGCACACAGGCUUCAGUAGUUGCAGCACUCAAGCUCAGUAGUUGUGGUGCAUGGGCUGACCUGCCCUGCAGCAUGUGGAAUCUUCUCGGACCAAAGAUCGAACCCAUGACCCUGCCUUGACAGGUGGAUUCUCACUGGACCACCAGGGAAAUCCCUAAUGCACACUUUUGAAUGCAGUAUGUUGAUAAUACAUGCUUAGACUAAAGGCAAACAGAAUCUUAUAAAGAUUCCACAUAUAAGUGAAAUCAUACAGUUUGUAUUUGUAUUCCUCUUUCUGUGUCGGACUUACUUCACUUAGCAUAUUACCCUCUGCAGCACCAGGAAAGCCUGGCGUGUUGCAGUCCAUGGGGUCACAAAGAGUUGGACAUGACUGGGAAACUGAACAACGACAUUACCCUCUAGGUCCUUCCACGUUGUUGAAAAUGGGAAGAUUUUACAGAACAUUUGGCAAAGUCUGGAGACAUUUUUGGUUGUCACAGCUGGGAGGCACAUGGUGCUACUGGCGUAUACCACGGAGCCCAGGGGUGCCACUGUAUAUCCUACAGUGCACAAGACGGUGCACCGUCCUCACCACAAAGAAUGCUUCAAACCACGAUGUCAGUAGUGCCAAAGUUGAAGCCCUACAACCCUUUCCUACAACCCUCUUUCUUCUCUUGUUCCCCUGUCCAAUGCUCUACUUCUCUCAGAUUCAGAUGGAAAGAUGACUGCAUCUAACCAGAAUGCUUCAUGGGCCUCAAGAAAUCUCCCUAUGUUCUCAAUCUGUAGUUGCCCCCGAUCCCUCCCAGCAUCAGGCUCUUUUCCAAUGAGUCAACUCUUCGCGUGAGGUGGCCAAAGUAUUGGAGUUUCAGUUUCAGCAUCCGUCCUUCCAAUGAACAUCCAGGACUGAUCUCCUUUAAGAUGGACUGGUUGGAUCUUCUUGCAGUCCAAGGGACUCUCAAGAGUCUUCUCCAAAACCACAGUUCAAAAGCAUCAAUUCUUCGGCGCUCAGCUUUCUUCACAGUCCAACUCUCACAUCCAUGCAUGACCACUGGAAAAACCAUAGCCUUGACUAGACGGACCUUUGUUGACAAGGUAAUGUCUCUGCAUUUUAAUAUGCUAUCUAGGUUGGUCAUAACUUUCCUUCCAAGGUGUAAGCGUCUUUUAAUUUCAUGGCUGCAAUCACCAUCUGCAGUGAUUUUGGAACCCAGAAAAAUAAAGUCUGACACUGUUUCCACUGUUUCCCCAUCUAUUUCCCAUGAACUGAUGGGACCAGAUGCCAUGAUCUUAUUUUUCUGAAUGUUGAG
ensembl:lncRNA